rnacentral:rRNA from 1 species
AGUCGAACGAGAAAGUAUGUUUGAGGUCAAGUAAAGUGGCGAACGGGUGAGUAACACGUGGGUAAUCUGCCCUGAAGUUGGGGACAACUCGCUGAAAAGCGAGCUAAUACCGAAUGAGAUAGUCUUUACAUAUGUGAGGAUUAUGAAAGGUUUCGGCCGCUUCAGGAUGAGCCUGCGGUCUAUUAGCUAGUUGGUGAGGUAAAUGCUCACCAAGGCUACGAUAGAUAGCCGGCCUGAGAGGGUGUACGGUCACAUUGGAACUGAGACACGGUCCAGACUCCUACGGGAGGCAGCAGCUAAUAAUAUUAUGCCGCAGAUGGGCGAAAGCCUGACGGAGCGACGCCGUGUGGUUGAUGAAGGCCUUACAGGUUGUAAAAACCUUUUAUUUGAGAAGAUGGGCAAGCCUCGAGCUUGCUUGACGGUAUCGAACGAAUAAGCCCCGGCAAAUUACGUGCCAGCAGCCGCGGUAAUACGUAAGGGGCUAGCGUUGUUCGGAAUUAUUGGGCGUAAAGGGCGUGCAGGCGGACUAAUAAGUCGGGUGUGAAAUCUUAUGGCUUAACCAUGAGCUAUUGCUCGAAACUGUUAGUCUAGAGUUUGGAAUAGGGAGACGGAAUUCCUAGUGUAGGAGUGAACUCUAUAGAUAUUAGGAAGAACACCGGGUGGCGAAGGCGGUCUCCUGGUCUAAAACUGACGCUAAAGCGCGAAAGCUAGGGUAGCAAACGGGAUUAGAUACCCCGGUAGUCCUAGCCGUUAACGUUGCCUACUAGGUGUA